rnacentral:rRNA from 1 species
AGGGCGUGUGGUGGAUGCCUUGGCACUAGGAGGCGAUGAAGGACGUGGCAAGCUGCGAAAAGCCUCGGAGAGUCGCAAGCAGACUUUGAUCCGGGGAUUUCCGAAUGGGGAAACCUGGCAGGGGUAAUGCUCUGUCGUCCCUUACCUGAACACAUAGGGUUUGGGCCGCCAACGGGGAGAAGUGAAACAUCUCAGUACCCCCAGGAAAAGAAAGUAAUAACGACUCCGUUAGUAGCGGCGAGCGAACGCGGAAGAGCCUAAACCAAUGUCAUGUAAGCUCGUGAGCGUUGUGGCAUUGGCGUCGUGGGAGUCACCGUUGCGGGUCACGGACCGCAGGUGGAGUUACCAAGCAUGGAUCUAGUAGAACAAGCUGGAAAGCUUGACCAUAGAGGGUGAAAGUCCCGUAUACGAAAGGUUGCAUGCCUCCACUGGUGGCCACCCGAGUACCGCGGAACACGAGAAAUUCUGUGGGAAUUUGCGAGGACCAUCUCGUAAGGCUAAGUACUCCCUAGUGACCGAUAGCGGACCAGUACCGUGAGGGAAAGGUGAAAAGAACCCCGGUAAGGGGAGUGAAAUAGAACCUGAAACCGCAUGUUUACAAUCGGUGGGAGGACGUUGGCUUCGCGCCUGUCCGACCGCGUACCUUUUGCAUAAUGGGCUGGCUAGUUGUGGUAUGCAGCGAGGUUAAGCUUUUAGGCGAGCCGUAGGGAAACCGAGUCUGAAUAGGGCGUUUAGUUGCAUGCUGCAGACGUGAAGCCGGGUGAUCUAUCCUUGACCAGGGUGAAGCGUGGGUAAAACCACGUGGAGGCCCGAACCAGUGUCGGUUGAAAACGGCUUGGAUGAGUUGGGGAUAGGGGUGAAAGGCCAAUCAAACCCGGGAAUAGCUCGUUCUCCCCGAAAUAGCUUUAGGGCUAGCCUUUGGCGAUGGAUUGCGGAGGUAGAGCACUGGAAGGGCUAGGGGGCCUAUAAGCUUACCGAACCCUACCAAACUCCGAAUGCCGCAUAUCUUAGCCAGGGAGUCAGACUGCGAGGGAUAAGCUCCGUAGUCGAAAGGGAAACAGCCCAGACCGCCAGCUAAGGCCCCUAAGUGCAGGCUAAGUGGAAAAGGAUGUCGAGAUGCACAGACAGCCGGGAGGUUGGCUUAGAAGCAGCCAUCCUUUAAAGAAAGCGUAAUAGCUCACCGGUCGAGUGACUCGGUGCCGAAAAUGUACCGGGGCUAAGCCUGCCGCCGAAGCUGCGGAUUUAUAGGAACUCCGGUUCCUAUGAGUGGUAGGGGAGCGUUCUGUGUUGCUUGAAGUCAGACCGUAAGGACUGGUGGACGGCACAGAAGUGAGACUGCCAGCACGAGUAGCGAUAAAGAGGGUGAGAACCCCUCUCGCCGGAAGUCUAAGGUUUCCUGAGGAAGGUCAGUCCGCUCAGGGUUAGGCGGCCUCUUAGUCGAGGACGAAGGUCGUAGACGAAGAGAAGCAGGUGAAUAUUCCUGCCCCGCCUGAAUAACGUUUGACCGAAGGGGUGACGCAGGAGGGUAGCUCAGCCUGCGAUUGGAAGUGCAGGUUGCAAGCAAGUAGCCGGGGGGACUAGGCAAAUCCGGGCCCCCAUUCCAAACGGUGAGAUGUGAUGCCGAGGUCUUCGGACCGCAAAGUGAGUGAUCCCACGCUGCCAAGAAAAACCUCGUAGGGAGUAAUUCAGGCGACCGUACCGCAAACCGACACAGGUAGACAGGGAGAGAAUCCCAAGGCGAACGAGUUAACACUGGUUAAGGAACUCGGCAAAUUGGCUCCGUAACUUCGGGAGAAGGAGCGCCCCGUUAGCGUGAAGGACCUUGCGUCCGGAGCGUGAGGGGGUCACAGAAACCAGGCCCAGGCGACUGUUUACUAAAAACACAGGUCUCUGCAAAGUCGAAGUCGACGUAUAGGGACUGACGCCUGCCCGGUGCCGGAAGGUUAAGAGGACGGGUUAGCCCUAGGGCGAAGCUCAGAAUUGAAGCCCCGGUAAACGGCGGCCGUAACUAUAACGGUCCUAAGGUAGCGAAAUUCCUUGUCGGGUAAGUUCCGACCCGCACGAAUGGCGUAACGAUCUGGGCGCUGUCUCGACCAGUGGCUCGGCGAAACUGAAGUGCCGGUGAAGAUGCCGGCUACCCGCAGCUGGACAGAAAGACCCCGGCACCUUUACUACAGCUUAGUACUGGGUUUUGGUAUGUCGUGUGCAGAAUAGGUGGGAGGCUUUGAAACCAGGCCGCUAGGCUUGGUGGAGCCAACCGUGAGAUACCACCCUCGUUAUGCUGGAACUCUAACCCAGGUCCGUUAUCCGGAUCGGGGACAGUGCUUGGUGGGUAGUUUAACUGGGGCGGUUGCCUCCCAAAGGGUAACGGAGGCGCCCAAAGGUUCCCUCAGGCUGUUUGGAAAUCAGCCGCAGAGUGUAAAGGCAUAAGGGAGCUUGACUGCGAGACUGACAAGUCGAGCAGGUGGGAAACCAGGGCUUAGUGAUCCGGCGGUUCCGUAUGGAAGGGCCGUCGCUCAUCGAAUAAAAGGUACGCCGGGGAUAACAGGCUUAUCUCCCCCAAGAGUUC